CCACAGACUCACUUCCAUGGUGACGAAUCCAAACUGAAGAUCAUCGGCGCUCUUUUCAAACUCUCCUACCGCGGAAACAUGUUCACUUCAAGAGUUGUUUAUCAUCAAACUUUAACCGAGACCUACAUUUAAUGUCGCAAGGAAUGUAGUGUGAAAGUUGUUCCAGGAGAGACAUAACGUUAUAUGUCGGUGAUGUUUGAGCCAAGUUGACGUUCGGCUUGUAGCUGUCAGGAAGCACGUUUGUGUUAUAGUAACAACUUCAGUGCCACAUCACAGCCAUGAACAACAGCGCAGAGAGGAAAUUCGUCAAUCUGAGGAAGCGUUUGGAUCAGCUGGGCUACCGACACACACUGGGGAUAGAGUCACUGCCGCUAGUGGAGAAACUAUUCAGUGAUUUGGUCCACACAACAGAAAGCCUGCGCAAUGCCAAACUGUCAGCAGGGAAAACUGAAAAAGAAAGCAGAAAUGUUGAUGCUCUUCUCGAGCCAUACAGGGCAGAAAAUGCUCGGGUGGUCAGGGAGAACAAUGAGCUGCACCUUGAACUUCUCAAGCUGAGGGAGGAGAAGGAUCGUGUUAGCAGAGAGCUCAAGACCCACAUCAGGAAGCUGGACCACGACACAUCUGACCUAAAGUUUUUAAAUAAUCAGUAUGUACACAAAGUUCGCUGCUUGGAGAAGGAUAGCAAGGCUAAGGCUGAGCGCAUCCAGCAGCUGCAGGAGAAGAACAUGCAGGCUGUGGUGCAGACACCAGGUGGAAAGAAGCGCAGCAUCCCUUUCAGACGACAGAGAAUGCAGAUUGAUGAGCUCAUUCCUUCCUCCUCUACAUCAGCUUAUCCUGUGUCGCAGCCUGAUGAUCCGUAUAUAGCUGACCUACUGCAGAUGGCAGAUGGAAGAAUUCAUGAGCUACAGGAAGACAUCAUAAAGGUCAAACUAGACAUGGAAAACGCUCAAGAAUAUAUAAAACACUUAAAUACACAGGUGGAGGAGAGGGACAAAGAGAUUGAGCGUUUAAAUCACACUCUUCAUGGAGGACGACCUCAUGAUGUAAUUUCCCUUGAGGCUCAGAACAUCAGCAACGAGAAACUGAUCGCUCAUCUUAACCUUCAGAUUGAGUACCUACAGGAGACCAACAGGACACUGGAGGAGAAGGUACAGGGACUGCAGCAGAAGAAGAAGGACGUCUCCACCGAAGUGGCCAAUCUGUCUUUAAAGAACCUGGAGCUGUGUGAGGAGCUGACACACAUAGAUGACCUCGCAAAGCGGCUGGAGAUGGACAAGGAGCACGUGUUGGAAACUGCUGACAUGGAGCUGCAAGAAACGAAAAAAGAAAUCCUAAGGCAACAGAAAAUCAUAGAAGACUUGGAGGAUAUUAUCACAAAAACAAGAAGGGAGCAGUCUGAAGGUGACUUUGAAAAAGACCGCCUCAGAGACCAGCUGGUGGAGCUCAAAGAGCAGAAUGAGAAAAUGGAGGGACUAGUGAAUUUCCUGGAGGAGGAGAAAAUCAGGCUGCAGGACAAAAUAGAGAAAAUGAUGGCAGCUGACAAAGACCUGGUGCUGGAGUUGGAGACUAUGCGGGCUAAACAUGGUGUUUGUGGAAGGGAACGCUCUCCAUCACGACUAGAUGCAUUUGUGAAGAGUCUAGAGGAGGAGAGGGAUUUCUUUCGUCAGGAGGCUGAACGCUACAAAAGAGCCAGAGGGGCUGGUGGUCUGGAUAUAAGCCCCAUUCGUAGUCCAGGAAAGGGAAGGAGUCCUUGGUCCAAAGCAACAAGGGGAGGUGUUGCAGAGACAGAACUGCUACGUUUAGUGCAGGAAAGAGACGAGCUGAGAGCUGCUCUGCUGGACUUUGAGAAGCACAUGGAGGACAUCCAGAACAAUGUGAAGGGUCUCAGCUCUGAGAGAGACCAUUUCAAAACACUGUUCAAACAGGCUCAGGAGGACUUGAAGCUGGCCCAUAGCAUUAAUGUGUCAGCUGACCUCAUGGAACUGAAGGAGGAGAUCAGACAGGCAGAGAUAAGAAUCCAGCAGGUGACGGCUGAAAGAGACACACUGAUGGAGAGGUUAAAGGUUGUCCAGUCUUCAGCUCUCAAAGACAGAAAAGAAGAAGACAGGAGGAUUCUUGACCUGGAGAAUGCUGUCAAGAGUUUGGAGCGGGAAAGGUUGGAUCUGCGGUCACAGGUGUGUCUUCUGAAGGAGAACAAGGAGGCUGCUGAGGAGGAGCUUAAGGUUCGGUCUGCUGUUAUAGUCCAGAAUGCAGAGGAGGUUUCUCAUCACAGGGCGGAGUCUAAUGCUCUGAGGCUGCUCCAGGAGCAGAUGGAGCAGUCACUGUCUGAUAGCCAACAUAGGCUGUCUGUGAAGAUGAAUGAGCUGCAUGCUGCCCAUGAGCAGAUUGAGAAACUGGAGGAGACAAUAGGGGGGCUGAGUCAGCGAGGCUCCAAACACAAGGAGGAAGUGGCUGUUCUUCAGAAGUCCAUUUCUGCUUUGGAUAAAGAAAAAGAUGCCCUGCAAGACGAGGUGGAUCAAAAGACUGAAAAACUGGUUGUUCUGCAGGACGAGCUGUCUAAAAAGGAACAGACCCUUGAAGAUGUGAGGCUCACAGUCACAAACCUGGACAACUCAUUGGCUCAGCUGCAGGGGGCGUUAAACAGCCGUGAGAGGGAGAUAAGCAGCCUGAGGAGGCAGCUGGAUGCCUGUCAGGAGGAGCUGGCUGCACUUAGGAGAGACAAAGAAAUCACAAUCAGAGAGAACAGGAGGCUGCAAGAUGACCUGGCUACUAUGACUAGAGAGAAUCAAGCUGUACAUGUGGAGAUGGAGGAGGCUUUAAACGAGAAGGAUGAGCUGAAGUUGCGGGUCCACUCUUACAUUUCGGAAGUUUCUAGAAUAGAGAAACUGAUGGCCACAAAGGAGCAGGAGAACAGGGACUUGCUGGAUCGUUUCAAGAUGGCUAACUCUGAGGUGGAGGAGCGGGAGCAGAAGUUGCAGCAGGCUGAAGGCCUCAAUAACUCCAUCCGCCUGGAGCUGCUCUCCUCAGACACAGAACGCAGACAACUCCGCGAUACUGUUGGCCACCAGGGGAGAGAGAUCCAACAGCAUGUGCAGGCCCUGCAGGCUUAUGAGGCUCAAGUAUCGUCGCUGGUGCGUGGGAUGUCCCGACUAGAGGAGGAGCUACACAAAGCACAGGACGAGAAGGCCGCGCUCCUCUCGGAUCUGGCAUCCGUCAGGGAGCUGUGUGUCAAACUGGACUCUGGCAAGGAGCUAACUGCACGUCAGCUCACCUCCAGAAGCAUGGACCUGGAGAGAAUCACUGGAGAAUUGGAGGAUGUUCGGUCAGAGGCAGAGCUAUUUAAGAAACAACUUGCCAGUGAGAGACUGACUGUCCGUAACCUUGAGACACUUCUCUCCACCAAUCGGCACAAGGAGUUCCAAACCCACCUGACAGCUAGUGAGAGAGAGUCGGAGCUGAAGGUCCUACGUGACAGGCUGACCUUGGCUGACAGCAAAACUGUGGAGCAUACCAGGGAGGUGUCCCAGCUCCGCGGCAAAGUCUCUCAGCUGCAGACGGAGAUGGACGUUCUGAAAAGACAGUUGACCUCUGAGCGCUUUGAACGUGAAAGGGCAGUCCAGGAGAUGCGCAGACGGGGCAUGUCCUUCUCGUCCCUGCAGAGUUCAACGUCCCUCGACAUCUCCAGCAGUCCUCACCACACCUCCCCAGAACGCUCCAUCCUCCGAACUCUUAGCCGCUCCACUGACAAGUCAGCAGACAAGUGAGGCUUUGGACGUGAAGAUGAUUCAGCAAAUUUUUUUUAGGGCUCCAUUGUUUUUGGUUUCAAUUUUUUAAUCCGGGAUUUAGCUGUUUAUUUUUAGUAUUAAACAUGAAGCACAUGCAUUUUUCUGAAGUGUGAGCUUCAAGGAUUAACCACUAAAGACACAGACAGAUGAAGGAUUUGAUGAGUGAGUCCGAAACCACGAGAAGCCUGUGCUUUAAGUUUGAGUCUGGACGUGAAUUGUGAAGGUCAUUCAUUAGCCUGUUACAUACCUUAGUGCCACUUAAUGCCCCAGUCCAGUCUGAGGCACUCAGGAUAAAGUCCUGCCCAGGUGUUUACUAAAACUAAUGACUGUGCUAACAUUCAAAUGUUAUUUUUUUCCAUCCAAAUAUCCAACUUUUCAUUGACUCUACUUACAUUACUGGAUGCUAAGUUUCCUCUCUGUCCAUAUGUUACACAGUCCAUGAUGAACUUAGGAUUCAGUUUGAGAAUACAGUCAUGGAAAAAAUGAUUAGACCAUUGUUUUCUUCAAUUCUUGUUCAUUUGAAGGCCUGGUACAACUAAAGGUACAUUUGGUUGGACAAAUAUAAUUAUAACAACAAAAAUAGCUAACAAGAGUUUCAUAAUAACCAAAAUCAUAAUCAAUAAAACCAUGGAAAAUGGCUAAAUAUCAGCUCUUAAAUUAAACUCUUUUGUUAUUAUCAUUAUAUUUGUCCAAACAAAUAUACCUUUAGUUGUACCAGGCAUUAAAAUGAACAAGAUAUUUGAGAAAACAAGGGUGGUCUUAUCAUUUUUUUCCAUGACUGUAAGUUACGUCUUCUGAAAUUAAUUUUGUUCUCAGCAACUAUAACCUCAUACAUGUAGCAAUAGAAGUAUUCGUUCAACCCUGUGGUUAUGUGCAUUAUGCCUAAUAUUCAUGUUUUUUUGUAAUGAUGCUUAAAUUAUUAAAU